GUGAUAACACUACAAUCAAAAAUUGAAAAUUGUAGGUGCGGCGGUAACAUACAGUCAUUAGUUGUCAAUGUAGUUUCUAAUCAUACCGUCCUCUUGUCAGAGAAAGAUCGAUAAAAUAUUUACACUUCUAAUUGAGCUAAUAUGUAAUUCUAAUGUAACAUUAGUUUAUUAGUUUGUAUACCGAAGGGCAAAAUGCUUUACGUAUUAAAUUUUUACUCUUUACAGUUUAAUGUUCAAAGUUGUCGACCGGCGUUAUAUUAUACUUCUCUUAAUCUGAAGAUACAAGUAUGACAUAACGAAGGAAUCGUUCUUCAUUGAAAGUAAUUUUCGACACUUGGAGAAAGAAACGUCAAAUAUAUCGAACAAAACAUCAAUAAAUAUUCCGUUUUUAAAGUUUGUGGUCGCUAAUUCGGUUUAUGAGAUGUAGUCGUGCGGCCACAUCUGUCCCGACUACGUUAUAAACUGUGGAACAUCUUUUCCUCAAAAAAACUGGCGAAACAACGUAACGUGCAGCGAGAAAUUGUGUAGGAUCGUCGUACGAUCUUCAUUAUGAAUAGGUAACCCGCGGAGUUUAAACCGUUCUCCAUGGUUUUCCAUUUUCCCGACGAAUAUUGAAACACGAAUUAACGUCUGUGCACGUACCGACACAUUUCUGGCGGUACGCUAGCAUGAAAAGUGAAAUGGAACAAAUAAACUCAGCGACUUUCAACGCUGAGAAAUAAAAUUCUGUCGAAAUGACGUACUGUUUCGUUGCUGCUUCAUUAAAAAUUGUCAUUCCAUUAGAAAAGAUGUAUGUGACCUGUACAUGACAAUCUACAAAUCCGAUUACAUCGAAUUGUGCUUUCCUCGAAACCAUUUAAUUCUUUUCUGCACAAUUUUCUUAUUCUGCAAGUAAUAACUUGUGUACAGUUAAAAUGGCAAGCGAGUGAAAUAUUCUAUUUUUAUUUCAUAACCGUAGCUUUUAGACAUAAUGGUUUAUGCAAGUAAGUGAUUAUAUUCGUAAAUAAGUGUAUAUGUGAGUACUUGUUAAUCUUUAUUUAAUGCGCGUUUGCUUUUCUUGCGAACAAGAAUUUUAUUUGACACUACAUAGAAGAUAAAGAAGCGACAAUCGGCUCUUGUGUAAUCGGUUGAUUAUAGAGAUAAUUCUGAAUGAUUAUGAUUAUGAUUAUGAUUCACUUAUGAUUCACUAAUGGAGAUUGCAACUUUGUCAUUCUUCGGCAAUCCUUUAAAACAAUAUUAUAUAUGUUGGAACGAAAUGCUUUCGUAGAAUACAGCUGAAGAUAUGUGCAGCAUCUCUUGCAUAAUCCAAUAUUAAUAUUUUUUUACUAAUAUUCUAAUACAUCGGUCUUUCAAUCAAAUGUCACUAAUAUUCUUCGAGUGGAACUUGUCGUGAAAUUUUUAAGUUACAAAUUAUGAUUUUGCACUACUAAUCAAUGUUUCUGGUAAUAAAGAAGAGAAACUUAGUUACAGAAGAAAUAAAACUCUGGCGAGGGCGAGUGAAUUUUACGAAAUUGUCACUAAAGGAACUUUCACGAUUCGCGUAUAAUAUUUUUACUAGUAUACAAUAAGAACUUCGAAUUAUCGUUUUCAUUUGUUAUCGAUCGAUUAAACGAGACACAUACUUAAUUCACGCGAAGCAAAAGGAAAUGAUGGAGCCGAUACCGCAAAAGCUUAACUGAAGAAAAACGUGCUGUCUUAUCCGAGAACCGCUGUAUUAUUAACACAUCUUAUACUACAAUUGUGUAUACAGAAUGUUAAGAAAUAAGGAUCUGAAAUUUUACUUUACUUUAUAUUAUUUAUAUAUUUAAUAUAAAUAUUUGAUUUUCUUCGCAAAUCUUCUGAAACCACAAGAUUAUGGAAAGUUGUAAUUGUUUAUGGUCUAUGCAGUAUGAAAGAAUCGUUCUACAUACUGCAAGAGCUUUUUUCAAAUCUACAGAAGCAGAGAAUGGAAAACUAAAUUUAAAAUGUUCAAUAGAAAUAGAUGAUACGAAGUACAUGAUUUUAAUUGUUAUAUUAAACCGAAUAUAUUCUGCUUAUACAAUUUUGUCCCGCUGCAACGUAUUGUUUGAAAAUUACGAUCGAUUAAGAUACGUUUAGCAAUGAACAUAUUUUAAGGAUCGUGAUUUUCCGAAAAUUUGUCACUAUGAAAAUUAGGAAGUUCUUCUAAGGAGAUUAUUGUUUCUAUCGUAUUAGCUGUAUCAAUAUCGAGGAACAGAAGAUCACCGAUUACCGAAUAAUAUAAAUCUAAUCUAUUAAUAUAAUAUAAAUCUGUAACAUAUAGAAUAGUUACCUAUAGUGUCCUAUAAAACGUAACGACAUUAAAAGAAAGGAAAGAACAAAAUAUUUUGUGUUUGCCUAUAGUAUAUGUUCUAGCCGCUUGUAGUAUAUCUAUUACCGUACCAUCAUGUACUUA
rnacentral:lncRNA from 1 species